UACGUAGGGGGCAAGCGUUAUCCGGAUUUACUGGGUGUAAAGGGAGUGUAGACGGCCAUUCAAGCCAGAUGUGAAAGCCCGGGGCUCAACCCCGGGACUGCAUUUGGAACUGUAUGGCUGGAGUGUCGGAGAGGCAGGCGGAAUUCCUAGUGUAGCGGUGAAAUGCGUAGAUAUUAGGAGGAACACCAGUGGCGAAGGCGGCCUGCUGGACGAUGACUGACGUUGAGGCUCGAAAGCGUGGGGAGCAAACAGG
rnacentral:rRNA from 1 species